GACGAACGCUGGCGGCGUGCUUAACACAUGCAAGUCGAACGGAAAGGCCCCUUUGGGGGUACUCGAGUGGCGAACGGGUGAGUAACACGUGAGUAACCUGCCCUUGACUUCGGGAUAACUUCAGGAAACUGGGGCUAAUACCGGAUAGGAAUCCUUGCUGCAUGGUGGGGGUUGGAAAGCUUCGGCGGUUUUGGAUGGACUCGCGGCUUAUCAGCUUGUUGGUGGGGUAGUGGCUUACCAAGGCUUUGACGGGUAGCCGGCCUGAGAGGGCGACCGGCCACAUUGGGACUGAGAUACGGCCCAGACUCCUACGGGAGGCAGCAGUGGGGAAUAUUGCACAAUGGGCGGAAGCCUGAUGCAGCAACGCCGCGUGCGGGAUGACGGCCUUCGGGUUGUAAACCGCUUUCAGCAGGGGCGAAGCUUGUGGUGACGGUACCUGAAGAAGAAGCACCGGCUAACUACGUG
rnacentral:rRNA from 1 species